UUAGUAAUUUUAAUUGCAAUGCUAGGUUAGUACUUGGAAAUUGCUUGUGUUGGAAAUUGUAAUUCACAUAUGUUCUUGAGAUAGGAUUUAGACGAAAUUCCAUGAAUUCUAGGAUUGAAUUGAGCACCCUUCAGCUUAGGUCUGUAAAUCUUAAGUUUGGGGGAACUGAGGAGUAGAUAUACCUUUCUAGAAAAAAAAAAAGAACAAAAAAAAAAUAGUAGUAAAUAAAUUCACAAAAAAAUAAGUGGUAGAAUUAACUAGGUUGAGCUCAUUAGUACUCGAGUAAUUAAGUCUGAGGGGACUUUGUGCCUAACAACCUAAAGCCCUUCGUGGUUUGGGAUUGUUGACCCAACGCUCGCUACAUGGGUACUAGUGCAUAAAUCUUUAGGGAUCUCAACCAUUGCACGGUUAAAUAAACCACUAGAAUAGAGUGAAUAAUUGGUGUGUGAAGUCUUGUGGUGUUCGUAACGCAUUUACACUGCGAAGCGCUCUGACCUUAGACCGAGCAAUGAAUCACCAAUAAUAAAAAGAAAAAAAAAAUAGUGAAUAAAAUAGAAGGGUGUGGACAUUCUUUGGGACCUUGGCUUUUAGUUGGACUUGAGUGACGGGGUGUUAGUUUUAAACUUUUACGAUUCUUGAUUGGGAUUCUGUGGGAGUAGUAGUUUUUGUCUUGUCUCAAUAAAAGAGCAUGCUUGCACACACUGGCACUCCACACUUGUAAAUAGAAGAGUAAUUGACUUGGUAGCGAGAGAGAUGAAAUUCGAGAACAUUAGCACAAUCUGAGGUAUUAUAAUUGGCAAGGCAAUUACUUCAUAGUUCACUCAUUCAUCACGUAGUUGCAUUCAUGCAUUGCAUUGUAUUAUUGUAUAGUGUCGUUGACGCUUGAGGACAAGCAUCAGUUUAAGUUUGGGGGUGUGAUAAGUGGUAUUUAUACACACUUAUAGGCCUUCAUUUCCACUUAAAUUGGUUGGUUGUACUUAAGUGUUUAGUG
rnacentral:lncRNA from 1 species